rnacentral:rRNA from 1 species
GGAGGUACUCGAGUGGCGAACGGGUGGGUAACACGUGGGUGAUCUGCCCUGCACUCUGGGAUAAGCCUGGGAAACUGGGUCUAAUACCGGAUAGGACCAUGCUUUAGUGUGUGUGGUGGAAAGUUUUUCGGUGUAGGAUGAGCCCGCGGCCUAUCAGCUUGUUGGUGGGGUAAUGGCCUACCAAGGCGGCGACGGGUAGCCGGACUGAGAGGUUGGUCGGCCACAUUGGGACUGAGAUACGGCCCAG